GCUUCCACAUGCAGUCGAACGAGGUAGCAAUACCUAGUGGCGGACGGGUGAGUAACGCGUAGGAAUCUGCCUUUAAGUGGGGGAUAGCAAGCCGAAAGGCUUAUUAAUACCGCAUAAGUGUACGGUCGGACACGGCUGUACAUCAAAGGAGUAAUCCGCUUUUAGAGGAGCCUGCGUCCGAUUAGCUAGUUGGUGGGGUAAAGGCCCACCAAGGCGAUGAUCGGUAGGUGGUCUGAGAGGACGAUCACCCACAAUGGGACUGAGACACCGGCCCAUACUCCUACGGGAGGCAGCCAGUG
rnacentral:rRNA from 1 species